GACGAACGCUGGCGGCGUGCCUAAUACAUGCAAGUAGAACGCAGUUGCGAACGGGUGAGUAACGCGUAGGUAACUGCCUCAUAGCGGGGGAUAACUAUUGGAAACGAUAGCUAAUACCGCAUACUGUGAGAUUGACCUGCGUUGUAUUAGCUAGUUGGUGAGGUAAAGGCUCAACAAGGCGACGAUACAUAGCCGACCUGAGAGGGUGAGUGGGCAAACUGGGAAUGGGGAAAGGGCCAGACUCCGAAGGGAGGCAGGAGUAGGGAAUGUUCGGAAAUGGGGCGAAGUCUGGACGAGCAAAGGCGGGGGAGUGAAGGAGGUUGUCGGGUCGGAAAGCUCUGUUGUUAGAGAAGCGGUAACUAACAAGAAAGGGACGGCUAACUACGUGCCAGCAGCCGCGGUAAUUC
rnacentral:rRNA from 1 species